rnacentral:lncRNA from 1 species
UAGGACAUGAAAAUAUAUAACCAUCAAACAUAUAACAGUGGGAAUAAGUGAGAAUAUAUGACAAUCGAACACACACACACACAUUUAUAUAUCACAGGUACAUAGCUGAUACAAGGACUAUAAAAUGUAGCAAGUUUCUACAGCAAGUAGUACAUAGGUGAUCAAUUUAACUAGUGAGCACAAACACAUAACAGUACUAGUUUCACAUCGAGCUACAAAUAAGCAAGAACAACAACGUGUCUCUGGACUGAACAUAUCGCAUCAUCACACAAUCAUAGUACACCAAAAUUACUUGAGAAUGUAGAGAAACAGAGUGAAGUAAAGGAACAUCAGCAGUGAGACUCAGAGUUCAGAACAGCAACAAGUUCAGAACAGCAGCAGAUCAUUUUCUUCAGAAAGGAACAGCAGCAAGAAAAGGGGACAGCAGCAGCGUGGGGAUGGAGAGAGGGGUAGCAGCAGUACGGGAUUCAGAGAAGGAGCAGUAGCAGGGGCGUGAGAGGGGAAGCAACAGCGUGGUGAGGGUUCAGAGAUGCACAUCAGCAAGGUUAGGAGAAGGAGCAGUGCAGCGGCAAGGUAAGGAGAAGGAGAAGUGCAGCAACGAGGUAAGGAGAAGGAGAAGUGCAACAACGAGGUAAGGAGAAGGAGAAGAUCAACAACGAGGUAAGGGAAGAGCAGCGAGCAGCAGGGAGGUCGGCGUAGUGGGAGUCGCGCGGGGCAUCAGACACCUCGUCUAGUCAGGCGCGCGAGCGUGGGGUUGAGGCGUGGUGGCGCUGGAGGUUGGAGAUGGAUGGUGCGGGGUGGUUGGAGAUGGUGGCGCUGGUGGAUGCGUUGGUGUAUGGGUGGAUGGAGAUGCAGUGGCGCGCUGCCACGCCGGCCUGACCGCGGCGGCGGCCCGAGAUGGAGAAGGAGGUGUGAGGGAGAGAGAUGUGUGCCAGGCCCUAUCCAAAAUUGAGGCAUGCUAGGGAUUUUGAUCCUCUCCUCAGAUCUCCACUUUUGCACUUCGGCCCUUCUACUUCUCUGCCUACUUCACAAGUUGAUCCCUCCACUCUUUCUUUCUUGCCCUUGAAGCUUUAAUAUUCAUCACACUCAAGUCCCUCUUCCUUCUCUUCUUUUAUAUGCUCAUCUCGAUUGCCACAUGGAUAGAAACUUGUAGUUUAUAGUGCCUUUGCGCACUUUGCUGCAAAAUAGACAAUUCACUAGUCGACAUUCCCUAUUAUGGUUAUCAUUCAAAUAUUCAACAAUUCUUAGCAGGAAUGGAUGGAUAUAUCUCAGUUAAUGGUAUAUUUGAGCAUCAAAUUAUGUAUAUGAAAUAUGCUUAUCAAGUUCCCCCACACUUAAAUCUUUGCUUGUCCUCAAGCAAAGGAAUAUGAAAAGAGCAAGAUUGUGAACAGUGAGCUGACUAGAGAAUGCCAAGUGAAGUAGAUCUCCAAACAAAGCAUGCUUUGAACUUUGCUAGUGAAAAUCAAUGGUUAAGAGUGCUACAAAGCAGUAGGAUACUAGUAAGCAUGGUCAUUUUAAACUUUUACAAUGAUAAAAGAGGAUCAACAAGUUUAAGUGAUGACUGUGCCAAAUGGUUCUUAAAGAGAGCAUGAUCCUGAGAACAAAAUGAACUGGAAUUAAAUCUUGUGAUCAAAUCACUUAUUUACAGAGAUAUAACAUUAUGGUUGAACCACUUAUUGAAUUUGAAAGAAACACACAUAUUAUUUUAUUAUUCUCACUGAAGGAACAUACCACUGAUCCCGAGAACAUGGUAUACACCUGGCUCAACCAAUUAUUAUUAAAAAAAUUGUUUGUCUCCCCAAAGGAACAUACCACCGAUCCAGAGAACAUGGUAUACACCUGGUUCGACAAUUACAUAUUUAUUUAUUAAUUACUACCCAAGCUAACCCGAUUUCACAUGCCACCGAUCCAGGGAACAUGACAUGCCACUGUAGGUAGUCAGACUUAUUAUUCAUUAUAAGAUAUAAUUUUUUUGAACAAAAACAAGAAUCAUCACUCAACCAUGUCUGGUUCACAUGCUACCGAUCCAGGGAGCAUAGCAUGCUAGUCCAUAGUGAUGAAGUGAUUGCUCUAAAUGGGAACACACUUGGCACAAAUACAUCAUCUGAACAUAGUGAUCUAGGUGUAUCAAGGCAAAUGCAGAAAAUGAUUAAGUUUACUAGUGCACUAGGGAUUUGAGCACUCAAAACUAAUAGUUCUCACUAAUUUCAGCAAAGUAAUCAUUGUAUAGAUCACUAGUUUACAAGGCAUUCAGAAAUCAGUUCACAUAUUCACAUCAAGCACCAUAUGUCAAAGAUAAAAUUAAGUGGGACAACAUUUAAGAAAUGGCUCAAGCAACCCAAAUAUCAAAUGAUUUCAGCAUGUAUCAAUGGAUGAUAUAUUAAGAUUGGGGUCAUGAAACAGCUCACCGGGCUUUGAUGUGGCACUCGCUCGACACCCUCUAAACUGCAGCUCUUCUGUUUUUGCUUCUCUAUCCUCAUGUCUGCUCCAUCUUCACUCUUCUUCGCGUGUGCCCAUUGCUUCUCCUCAUCACCAUGCCGUGAAUCCACCAGGAUCCCAUGGGAUGUCAUCUCGAACUUGGUCGGCUCGCAAUGAAUGGUAUACAUGCGUAAACCUGAAAGAAAACUCAACAGACAAGCCAAUACAAGUGAUAGGGACAAUGCCCUCUACGUCAUCAAUAGAGUAUCCUAUCACAUAAGCAUAUCUAUUGAGCAUAUGAUAAAUAGAUAUCAUCAACAAAUCGCAUGGUGCAUAGGCAGUAUCCAUGAUAUGGCAUAUCUUGUUGAGAAAGUUGCGAUCAUACCUGAGAUAGUUAGGAAGAAGCUUCAGGACUACCUCAAUUGAAGAUACCAAGUGAGGUGUGGUAGUAGAAAUUUCCACCGGACUCAUGUCAACAAGUGAAAUAAUAGAGCUUGGAUCCUUGACAUCUGAAUCCACCUCACCAUAAUCAACCAUGAAGCUCCCCAUCUCAGGCUCAAGUGUUGAGGAAUCAAUGCGGCUAACAUCAUCGAAGGCGAACUUUUCCAUAUCUGGCUCUAGCAGCACAUGAUCAAUAUCGACUAAAGAUGUCUCCUCAAUAUCAAAAGUAACUAACUGUAGCUUUGGUUCAUCCACAGAAGAAUCAUCACAAUGCAAAACUGAAUCUCGGAUGCUAGUAUCCAUAUGAUCUGAAAUGUGUGUAUCAACUAGGAUGGUGUCAUCAUCAUCAAAGAUAAUCCAUGAAAGCUCAAUCUUGUCACACGGAGAAACUGGUUCCGGCUUUUGUGUAAGAGAUUCUUGCUGAGAUGAAGUGAUUUGUUGCAAGCAAGCAACUGGGCCAGAGGUGGCCUUCUCAUUGUACCACUGAAGUUGGUGGAAGGCUAUGUUCUCAAUCAGCAAAAAAGCAUCAUCAAGUGUCUUGUUUGUAAUAGCUCCACCCGCUGCCAUAUCGACGUAAGCUCGAGUGUCCAAAGUCAAUCCUCCAUAGAAUAUCUGCAGCUCUAACCACCUCUCGAGCCCAUGAUUAGGACAUCUCCUGAAUAAGGCUUUGUACCUCUCCCAAGCAUCAUACAAACUCUCGCCUUCAUGCUGGACGAAGUUGAAGAUCUCAUCUCGGAUCGCGGACUACUUGUGUAGUGGGAAAUAUUUAUCCAAGAAUGCUUGUGAUAUCUCAUUCCAACUGUAUGAUCUUGAUGGCAAGGAUCGAUACCAAGCACGAGCAUCAUCUCGGAGAGAGAAUGUGAACAGCAUGCACUUGAUAACAUCUUGAGGAACUCCAUGGUACUUUACUGUAUCUGAAUACUCCAUGACUCAGAGCAACUGCUCAUAAGGGUCUUUAGUAGGCAAUCCUCCAAACUGAUGUUGUUGAACCAAAGCAAUAAUACCAGGCUUUAGCUCAAAAUUUUCCACCUCAAAAGAUGGCCAAAGUGGCCCUGUGAAAUAGCAUUGGUUACUUGGCAUCCAAACAUCAUGAAGCAUCGCCAUAUCUCAACCAAGUGUAAUUAUCAAUCAGCCUGUAAAUAGUUCAGAUUUCCUACGCACGCUCAUAAAUAGUAAACACUAGUCAAAAGGUUAGUAUCCUAAUAAGCCGAGGCAACAAUGGGAAAAGUACAAAAGAAACACUAAAAAUGAAAUACACGACGAAUUAAACAAGGAACUAAAGUAAACCUAGUCUAUAUCCUAACAUAAUCGCUCGACGCUGGUCCCCGGCAACGGCGCCAAAAUGAUCGAUUGUAUGUACAGUGGGGUUUUCAUGCCCAAACUGCGGAUGUCAUGUUCUCCACAGGGACUAGGCGAUCAACGGCUACGCUCGGCUAAAGCUAGGUAACAUGAUAUUGCGUGACGAAGACAGGAAAUAAACCUAAAUCUAACAAGGAUCAUCAACAAAGGAAAUGACAAAGAAGCAAAGAGAGGUUCAGAUUAUCUUCAACAAUCUUUUUGGUAUUUUCGUAAUGCUUGGUAAAUUAAAACACUAACAUAGACAAACAUCAAUGACAAAAGGGAAUCAACAGGACAUGAAAAUAUAUAACCAUCAAACAUAUAACAGUGGGAAGAAGUGAGAAUAUAUGACAAUCGAACACACACACACACACAUUUAUAUAUCACAGGUACAUAACCGAUACAAGGACUAUAAAAUGUAGCAAGUUUCUACAGUAAGUAGUACAUAGGUGAUCAAUUUAACUAUUGAGCACAAACACAUAACAGUACUAGUUUCACAUCGAGCUACAAAUAAGCACAAACAACAAGGUGUCUCUCGACUGAACAUAUCGCAUCAUCACACAAUCAUAGUACACCAAAAUUACUUGAGAAUGUGGAGAAAUAGAGUGAAGGAAAGGAACAGCAGCAGUGAGAGUCCAGAGUUCAGAACACCAGCAUGUCGUUUUCUUCAUAAAGGAACAACAUCAAGAAAAGGUGACAUCAGCAGCGUGGGGAUGGAGAGAGGAGCAGCAGCAGUACGGGAUUCAGAGAAGGAGCAGUAGCAGGGGCGUGAGAGGGGAAGCAACAGCGUGGUGACGGUUCAGAGAUGCACAACAGCAAGGUUAGGAGAAGGAGAAGUGCAGCGGCAAGGUAAGGAGAAGGAGAAGUGCAGCAACGAGGUAAGGAG